GACGAACGCUGGCGGCGUGCUUAACACAUGCAAGUCGAACGGAAAGGCCCUGCUUGUGUGGGGUGCUCGAGUGGCGAACGGGUGAGUAACACGUGAGUAACCUGCCCUUGACUUUGGGAUAACUUCAGGAAACUGGGGCUAAUACCGGAUAGGAGCUCCUGCUGCAUGGUGGGGGGUGGAAAGUUUCGGCGGUUUGGGAUGGACUCGCGGCUUAUCAGCUUGUUGGUGGGGGAGUGGCUUACCAAGGCUUUGACGGGUAGCCGGCCUGAGAGGGUGACCGGCCACAGUGGGACUGAGGUAGGGGCCAGACGCCUACGGGAGGCAGGAGUGGGGAAUAUUGCACAAUGGGCGGAGGGCUGGUGCAGCAACGCCGCGUGCGGGAGGACGGCCGUCGGGUUGGAAACGGCUUUCGCCUGUGACGAGGCGUGAGUGACGGUAAUGGGUAAAGAAGCACCGGCUAACUACGUG
rnacentral:rRNA from 1 species